CAGGGAAGGUGUUAUUAAAGCACUCUGAGCAACAGUUCUGUUUACAAUCCAAUUAUUCUCUAAGGUUGAUCAUACUUGUGACUCAAUUAUAGAUCCAUUUGCUGACAAUAAAUGAAUUAGUGUUUACAUUUCAGAAUUAAUCAUGUUAAACAAGUACAAAAUCCAUUGGCUUUUUCUACAUUUUGCAAGAUCACAUAGUUAUAUCCAGCUGCUAACAGCACAAGGAAAGAGACAAAAAUUCAUCAACAUGUGCUAUUAACAUAUAGACAUUCUGAGAAAAAUAGUAGAGAGUUCCAUAUGAGUAAAAAGCUGAAAAAUAAGUCAAAAAAGAAGAAAACAAUCAUGAGACUAUAAAAAAAGGUGGGAGUGGGAACUGUUCAUAACACCAUGUUGCAUUGCAUGCAACUUACC
rnacentral:misc_RNA from 1 species